rnacentral:rRNA from 1 species
GACGAACGCUGGCGGCGUGCUUAACACAUGCAAGUCGAGCGGCAAGGCCCUGCUUUUGUGGGGUGCUCGAGUGGCGAACGGGUGAGUAACACGUGAGUAACCUGCCCUUGACUUUGGGAUAACUUCAGGAAACUGGGGCUAAUACCGGAUAGGAGCUCCUGCUGCAUGGUGGGGGUUGGAAAGUUUCGGCGGUUGGGGAUGGACUCGCGGCUUAUCAGCUUGUUGGUGGGGUAGUGGCUUACCAAGGCUUUGACGGGUAGCCGGCCUGAGAGGGUGACCGGCCACAUUGGGACUGAGAUACGGCCCAGACUCCUACGGGAGGCAGCAGGGGGGAAUAUUGCACAAUGGGCGGAAGCCUGAUGCAGCAACGCCGCGUGCGGGAUGACGGCCUUCGGGUUGUAAACCGCUUUCGCCUGUGACGAAGCGUGAGUGACGGUAAUGGGUAAAGAAGCACCGGCUAACUACGUG